AGAGAAGAUGGGGCUAUGAACUAUACUUCUAACUUGGGCAUCUGAAGUAUAGGGAGCGAGUGAUGCAACCGACCAACACUUGU
rnacentral:ncRNA from 2 species